rnacentral:rRNA from 1 species
UACGGGGGGAGCAAGCGUUGUUCGGAUUUACUGGGCGUAAAGGGCGCGUAGGCGGCCACCGCAAGUCGAUUGUGAAAUCUCCGGGCUUAACCCGGAAAGGUCAACCGAUACUGCGGGGCUAGAGUGCGGAAGGGGCAACUGGAAUUCUUGGUGUAGCGGUGAAAUGCGUAGAUAUCAAGAGGAACACCUGCGGCGAAGGCGGGUUGCUGGGCCGACACUGACGUGAAGCGCGAAAGCUAGGGGAGCGAACGGG